CGAGGUGGGGGGCAGAGAUGAUGACUCGGCUCCAGCCCUCGGGGGUAGGGUGCUGGGGCCCCAGGGGCUCUUGCUGGACCACUCCCGGCCCCGGGAGGCGCCCGACACCCACGAUCCUGUCUUUGAGGGAGAUCAGCUCCUGUUCCUCUUUCUUGCGGUUCUCGAAAUGCGCCUCAAUCAGCGUCUGCAACUCGUUCAGGUCCUUCUCCAUGCGCUUCCGGUGGAUGUCCUGCGGGGGGGCGGGGCUCAGAGGCUGCCCACCGCACCCAUGCCAGGGGGGAGGGGCCUGGGUCCAGGAGAGCAGCUGGGGCCGGACCCAGGACACUGUCGGGCACUGUGUGCCCCCCGCCCGUGACCUCCCCUCCGCCAGGAGGUCCUGAGCUCUCUCCCAGGGGGCCUGCCCUCCCCAAGCCCCCACUCACGUCAAAGUCCACUCUCUCUCCGUCGGGGAUCUUGGGCGGCACCAGGUUGGGCAUGAACGGCCUGGUGGGCAGAAGGAGGCGUGAGCACCAAGCCCUCCCUGGACCAAGGGGCUGCGGUGCUUGGGGGGGCAAGGUCCUCUGCUCCCUGCAGAAACGCGGCCGCGCAGCCACCAGCACGGUGACACCAGCAUGGCGUGCGUACAGGAACCCCCAGGCCGCUCAGCGCCAGGGUCCCACGGCACCUGCACGUGCCCUCACGUUUACCCACAGAGUAGGAACCACUCAUCGCACUCAAGGAAGCCGAGACUCUGAGACACAGCGCCUGGCUCAAAACCACCAGCCAGGAAGUAGAGAAGCUGCACAGAUGGACACAGUGCUGACGGGGGCAGGGCCCAGAACUGGUGAUGGAGUGUGGGUGGAUUUCAGCCCCCAUCGCCCCCCCCCGACCGCACACACCCUGGCAGCAGACGGCAGAGACCCUUGUGCAGUGCACAACCUGUAAAACCAUACGUGGCAGUCUCUGCUCGCUGUACCACCAUGCACUGCGGUCCUGUCCCAGUUGUCCUCCCGCAUGAGCCCUCUGCUCCCAGGGCCUCGCCACUCACCUGGGCUUGGGCUUGGACUCCUCCACUGGGCCAUCUGGAGAGAAGGGAAGCACACGGCCACGGGGUCAGGAGGCCUGGAUCUGGUCCCACUCUGCCCCUGAUGAGCCGGGCACCUGUAGGCCUCCGUUUCCCCAUCCACCUGUGAGUCCCUCCCGGCCCCGGGUUGCAGGAACACCCAAAGAAAUAAGCCGCAGGGUUGCAAACCCCACACUCCCUCUCGGGGCUGCUCCCCGGGGGAGCCUCGGGAGACGCACGCACGCACGGCCCUCUCGUUCAGCAGUGCUGGCCUCACGGUGAGGAGGGGUCCAGGGCACGGUCCCUGGGGGUCCUGGCCCCAGAGUCCCCUCCCGAGCCUCUGCCUCCUCGGUUGCCCCCAGACCUCCUGGCGGCCCGGGACCAGGAAGCUGAUGGGGCGUGACCCUGAGACCCACCGGCUGCGCCCCUCCAGAGGCGUGAGUGGGGCCACCUGCGCCCCUGGGGAAGGCCGCCAGCCAACAGUGACCGCAGCAGUGACCCACCCCACGACCAUCCAUGCCUGGGAUCUCCUCCCCCAGACUCCCCACCCUCGAGUGGUUCAGCUGGGCUCCAGGCGCCUCGUGUGUGGACGUGGCUGUGACCACUGCCCUGCCCUGCCCUGCCUGGGCCCUUGGACAUCGCCCCUCUCCCCUGGGCACCACCGGGGCAGCUUCUCUGCAAGGAGGAGCCCGACCUCCAAACACGCAUGGUCACCGAGUUGUGUCCUGCCUUCCCCAGCCCCUCCCCCGCCUCCCUGGGGUCUCCCCCAAGCUGCUGGAGGGGCUCCCCGGCCCCCCAGCGCCUCCUCCCAACGCCCAGCAGGCCUCACCUUCAGCCUCUUUAUCUUCGUCUUCUCCACCUUCUAAAGAGAACGUGAGAAAUCAGUAAAGGUCCUGGUUGCGAGCUCAGACCCCUGCCAGGAGCCUCCCCGCAACAGGUCCUCGGCCAGUUGUGCCCUGUGGGGGUCUGGGGUCCGGAGCUGUCUGUCUGCACCUGCCCUGGGCCCCAGACCACCGGGACCAGAGGGGCACGUGGCCAGCGUUUACUGACAGGGCGGCCGAGGGCUGAGCCCCGACAGGACGAGUGGCCGCCCAGGCUGCAAAGCGCGGCCCAGGCGGAUUUCUUGCUGCUGUAGGAGUGGCUCUGGGGCUCUUGCCACCCCGGGCUCCAGGACAGAGCCCCUCGCACCCUCAGCCUGGGCGGAGCCUCACCUUCUGUGUUGGUCUCCUCCACGUCAGUCCCGCCUCCAGCCUCUUCUUCCACUUCCUCCUCCUGUUCUGGAGAAGUGAACCAGACACAGUGAACACACUCAUGCUGGCAGGCAGAGCCCGGGGCGGAGGUGUGGGGAGGGGGCCAGCGACAUCCAGGUUCCACGUGAAUUUGGGGGUGACUGAUGUGACAAGACGGGGGCUACUCUGUUCUUGGUUUAAACCAGAAGUCCGCAAACUAUGGCCCAGUCUGGCCCCCAGACUGUUUCUAAAUAAAGUUUUAUUGGAGCACGGCCCAAGCUGCUUUCACGCAACAACAGGGUUCAGCGGCUUCCACAGGGACCAGGUGGCCACAAAGCCUAAAACAUUUACUAUCAGCUCCUUCUCAGGGGCCUGGAGACCAGCUCUGCACCUGGAGGCCUCUGGGAAGGCCAGGGGGGUGCUGGGCAGCACCAGGGAAGGGGUGGGGGCUGUCUACCGGGCUCUUUCUGUCGACUCAGCCCCCCUUCCCCAUCCCGUCCCCCAGUGCGGCACCACAGGGGUCAGGGGAGCGCCUGUCCCGGGCUCAGACCCUGGAGACCCUUCAUCUGUAUCUGAAAGAGACCAAAGCAGGACUGCGUGUGGGGGAAGGAGCUGCCCCGCAUGUGGACGUAUGUACGGUCCAAGGAGUCAGGGGGUUUCUGUUUUCAUCCACUUGCUUGGCAGGGUGUAGACCCCGCCCCAGUCAGGCACUCCGAGUGGAUAGACACAUUCCACAGCGUGGCGCUAGGCACGGGGAUCCGCCUGCAGGGGGUGCUGAUGAAGACCUUGACUGAGGCUCUACAUGUGGUGGACUCCU